GACGAACGCUGGCGGCGUGCCUAAUACAUGCAAGUCGAACGCAGUUGCGAACGGGUGAGUAACGCGUAUGUAACUGCCUCAUAGCGGGGGAUAACUAUUGGGAACGAUAGCUAAUAACGCAUACUGUGCGAUGGACCUGCGUUGUAUUUGCUAGUUGGUGAGGUAAAGGCUCACCAAGGCGACGAUACAUAGCCGAACGGAGAGGGCGAGCGGCCACAACGGGACUGGGACACGGCCCAGAACCCGUCGGGAGGCAGCAGGAGGGAAUCUUCGGCAAUGGACGGAAGUCUGACCGCGCAACGCCGCGGGAGUGAAGAAGGUUUUCGGAUCGUAAAGCUCUGUUGUUAGAGAAGCGUUAACUAACCAGAAAGGGACGGCUAACUACGUGCCAGCAGCCGCGGUAAUUC
rnacentral:rRNA from 1 species